rnacentral:rRNA from 1 species
GCCCAGACUCCUACGGGAGGCAGCAGUGAGGAAUAUUGGUCAAUGGGCGCGAGCCUGAACCAGCCAAGCCGCGUGAGGGAAGACGGUCCUAUGGAUUGUAAACCUCUUUUGUCAGGGAGCAAAGGGCGCCACGUGUGGCGCUUUGCGAGUACCUGAAGAAAAAGCAUCGGCUAACUCCGUGCCAGCAGCCGCGGUAAUACGGAGGAUGCGAGCGUUAUCCGGAUUUAUUGGGUUUAAAGGGUGCGCAGGCGGAGGUGCAAGUCAGUGGUCAAAUUGCGGGGCUCAACCCCGUACUGCCGUUGAAACUGCAUCCCUUGAGUGCGCGAGAAGUAUGCGGAAUGCGUGGUGUAGCGGUGAAAUGCAUAGAUAUCACGCAGAACUCCGAUUGCGAAGGCAGCAUACCGGCGCGCAACUGACGCUCAUGCACGAAAGCGUGGGGAGCAAACAGGAUUAGAUACCCCUGUAG